AAUGGGGGCAACCCUGAUCUAGCCAUGCCGCGUGAGUGAUGAAGGCCUUAGGGUCGUAAAGCUCUUUCGCCUGUGAUGAUAAUGACAGUAGCAGGUAAAGAAACCCCGGCUAACUCCGUGCCAGCAGCCGCGGUAAUACGGAGGGGGUUAGCGUUGUUCGGAAUUACUGGGCGUAAAGCGCGCGUAGGCGGAUUAGAAAGUUGGGGGUGAAAUCCCGGGGCUCAACCCCGGAACUGCCUCCAAAACUGCUAGUCUAGAGUUCGGGAGAGGUGAGUGGAAUUCCGAGUGUAGAGGUGAAAUUCGUAGAUAUUCGGAGGAACACCAGUGGCGAAGGCGGCUCACUGGCUCGAUACUGACGCUGAGGUGCGAAAGUGUGGGGAGCAAACAGGAUU
rnacentral:rRNA from 1 species